CAAUAGCGUAUAUUAAAGUUGUUGCAGUUAAAAAGCUCGUAGUUGGAUUUGUGGCGUACGGUGUGUUCCGGGCACUUGUUGUCUGAGUAACCUGCUGUUGCCAUCCUUGGGUGGAACCUGUGUGGCAUUAGGUUGUCGUGCAGGGGAUGCCCAUCAUUUACUGUGAAAAAAUUAGAGUGUUCAAAGCGGGCUUAUGCCGUUGAAUAUAUUAGCAUGGAAUAAUGAGAUAGGACUUUUUUGCUAUUUUGUUGGUUUGCGCAAAGAGGUAAUGAUUAAUAGGGACAGUUGGGGGUAUUCGUAUUCCAUUGUCAGAGGUGAAAUUCUUGGAUUUUUGGAAGACGAACUACUGCGAAAGCAUUUACCAAGGAUGUUUUCAUUAA
rnacentral:rRNA from 1 species